AAUGCUGCGGUGAAUGCGUUCCCGGGUCUUGUACACACCGCCCGUCACACCACGGGAGUUGGAGACGCCCGAAGCCGAUUAUCUAACCUUUUGGAAGAAGUCGUCGAAGGUGGAAUCAAUAACUGGGGUGAAGUCGUAACAAGGUAGCCGUAUCGGAAGGUGCGGCUGGAUCACCUCCUUUCUAAGGAGA
rnacentral:rRNA from 1 species